UACGUAGGGCGCGAGCGUUGUCCGGAAUUAUUGGGCGUAAAGAGCUCGUAGGCGGCUUGUCGCGUCGGUUGUGAAAGCCCGGGGCUUAACUCCGGGUCUGCAGUCGAUACGGGCAGGCUAGAGUUCGGUAGGGGAGAUCGGAAUUCCUGGUGUAGCGGUGAAAUGCGCAGAUAUCAGGAGGAACACCGGUGGCGAGGGCGGAUCUCUGGGCCGAUACUGACGCUGAGGAGCGAAAGCGUGGGGAGCGAACAGG
rnacentral:rRNA from 1 species